ACAUAACCCAGUUAGGGUCGCACUCAUCACGGGGCCCCCAUUGCCUCUGGCGCACCCCACGACUGACAUCUGCGGGGCCUUCGCGCUAGGCUUCGAGUUUCAGCUUCCGCACCAGGCCUGCCUUUCUGCAGGGGCCAGGGUGGGGGUCGUGUGCUGAUUGGGCCCUCUGAACCGCCACCGCUGCAGAGGGGCUGUUCCUUCUGUCACAUCCCUUGUGCCCGAAUCCACCCUGUGUCUUCUCUUUUCUCAGCAGGACAUUUUAAAAGCCCAGACCCCCUCCUUACAGAGCAAAUGUCCAGGCUUCGGAGGUCACUGUCACAUCCCAAGAACCCCCUUCACCAGGUGCCACUCUUGAGACUGGACUGAAGCCCCCUGGAGAGGGGGGCCCCCGUCUCUAUGUCUCAGUGAUGACAACACUGGCCGUGUGGGUCCUGGUGGGCCUUGAGUGGGUUCCUCUGCUCAGACAUGAGGUGCUUAGACCUCACCCUAGCUCUGCCCUGUGACCUUGGCAGGUCACCCGGGGUCACUUUCCCAUCGGAGUGGGGGUGGGGACUGGAACCAGCCACUCCCAGGUCCCUCCUCUGAGGUUGCUCUUGGCACUGGUCCUGGGGACAGGGCUGCAGGGGACUCUGGCCUCUCUCUCCCCUCUCAGUUCCACUUGCCUUUGUCCUGCUGCCUGAGGUGAGGACAUGGACGGCCGGGUACAAGACGGGGCAGGCAACCUCGCAGUGGUGGUAACCCUGUGCAUGAACCCUGGGCCUGGCACGUGGACCUCCUGUGACCGUCCCCACAGGCCCGUGAGGCUGAGCUUGGCACUGCCCAAGACCACACAGUCCAUGCGCGGUGGAGCUGGGGUCCAGGCUGCCCACCAGGGCAGUGACUACAAUGGUGGCAGCAGGGGACGGUCACCGUCAUGAGCUCAAGCCAGGCGCUGCACUGACCUUGAGGGAGGGCUCCAUGCUUCCCCUUCCCACAGCUGCAGUGAGGCCUAGCAGAGCAGGGUCGGCUGCGGGCUUGAGUCCUGGGGUGCCCCUGGGCUGACGGGCCCUGCCUGACCUGCUCCUCCAGUGCCCCAGCCCUGCCCCACCCACGUCCCCUCCUCUCACUGCCCCCUGGCCCACUCCGCUGCGGUCUCAGUGCCUUCCCAGGCUGGGCAUCAUCUGAUGGGAGGAAAAUGAGGGCCCCAGACUCUGUGUCAUCCUGGCAGGACCCCUCCCCUCCCAUGGCUUUGAGCCCAUGAGAUGGCCUUGGACAAAGCGGCAAUGGGCCCUUCCUGAGACACAGUGCGGCCAUCUACUGGAAAACUGCCCAGUGUGACUCUGAUGACUGUGAUGUGAAUCCUACAGCAAAGUUGAGCAGUGCGCAACCUGGGCUACUGCACCUGGCAGCCCCGGCUCCUCCUCGUCUGCCUCUUCCUGCUCCUUCAUUCUCCCCCAGAGCUCUAAUUGUCACUGAGAUUUUAUGUUUCAUUUAACAAAUGACUGUCUCCCCGCUUGAACAGAACCUCCAUGGGGGGAGGGAAGAGUGUCUGUUGUAUAAAUAGUUGUAUUUCAGUGCAUAAAACAGUGCCUGCCUCAAAGGGAGGACUCAGUCAAUAUCUGUUGAAUGAAUGAAUGAAUAAUUGCCUGGGUCAACGAAUGAAUGGCUGAAUGAAUGAUUUCUCCUUUCCCUCGGCACUGUCUGGAGUCCCCAGGACAGGCAUGGGCAGCAGUCGCUGGUCUGUGGCCUGUCCCACUGGACUUGGGGUUCUCAUGCUUGGUCUGGGCGGAGAUCACCCACCAGGCUCCCAGGUCGAUCCUCUGCUCAUGGGAAGCUGCGUCCGGCCCAGCUGCCAGGAGCUCACUGCAGGGUGGAGGGAAGAGCAGGGACGAUCUGCGAGCGCCUGAACAGCGCACAAGAGCCGAGGAGCCGCUGCUUAAAAUGCAGGCGUUGAGAGGAGUUUCGCCUCCUUUUUUGAGUUGAAUAUGAGAUUUCCGAGCAGCCAUGACGAGUUGGGUUGGUGGAAGUGGGGAGUCCGUUCCUCAGUCAGAUGGAGGAGGGGGUCCCCUUGGAUCUCCUCUCGGGGCUCGAACCCUGAUACUUCAAGGUCUCUUCCCACCUGCCCUUGGUGGAUCUGGAAAGCUCCUGGGAACAGGGUGGGUCUUCCUUGUUUUAAAGGUUGUAAGUUGAGAGCACCUCACAUAACUGCCUGGGGCGGCUCUGACGGGCCUCAGUCUGCUUGUGAUGUCACACAGGAAGCCCCUGGGGACUGGGCCGCUCAAGUCCUCCUGGGUCAGACCAGAUCACUGGGCCUGUGGGUUCCGCAGUGAGUCCAGCAUCGUUUCCUGUGCAGUGACCCAGGCCGGGUCCCCAUGGGCUCUGACUAGGGGACAGUGGGACUCGGGGUUGGGGGGCCUGCUUGAGUCAUGGCUUCACUGUCCACUGUGACUGGGGACCCCCAGGGGGAUUUCUGGGGACGCAUUCACCUACUGCACUGGGGUUUCUCUUUCAGAACCACAACACCCUGGAAGGCAAGAAAUGGGGAGCUGCAUCUGCAUCCACAGGGUCCCACCAGCCUGGAACAUCCCCGCUGGUCUAGAAUCCCACCCCACACACCCCGCUGAUCCUGGGCCCGUCCCUGUGACCAGGAGACGGAGUCCAGGGACUCCCCAGGCCUGGGCCACGCGACUGCCCUAAGAGCCUGGCAUCAGGGAGCAGUGCUGUGUGCACCCCCAGGUCCACUGAGAGUAGGG
rnacentral:lncRNA from 1 species